rnacentral:rRNA from 1 species
CCUACGGGAGGCAGCAGUGAGGAAUAUUGGUCAAUGGCCGGAAGGCUGAACCAGCCAUGCCGCGUGAAGGUCAGUGCCCUAUGGGCGUUAAACUUCUUUUGUGCGGGAGCAAUAAUGGUCACGUGUGGCCAGACGAGAGUACCGUACGAAUAAGCAUCGGCUAACUCCGUGCCAGCAGCCGCGGUAAUACGGGGGAUGCAAGCGUUAUCCGGAUUUAUUGGGGUUAAAGGGUGCGUAGGCUGUGAGGUAAGUCAGCGGUGAAAUGCCCCCGCUCAACGGGGUGAAGUGCCAUUGAUACUGCCUUGCUGGAAUGCGGAUGCCGUGGGAGGAAUGUGUGGUGUAGCGGUGAAAUGCAUAGAUAUCACACAGAACACCGAUUGCGAAGGCAUCUUGCUGCAGCGGAACUGACGCUGAUGCUCGAAAGCGCGGGUAUCGAACAGGAUUAGAUACCCGAGUAGUC